UCCCUGGUGGUCUAGUGGUUAGGACUCAGAGCUUUCACUGCUGUGGCCCAGGUUUGAUCCCUGGUCUGGGAA
rnacentral:tRNA from 2 species